UACGGAGGGUGCAAGCGUUAUCCGGAUUCACUGGGCGUAAAGGGUGCGUAGGUGGUGAGGUAAGUCGGAUGUGAAAUCUCCGAGCUCAACUCGGAAAUUGCAUUGGAAACUACCUUGCUUGAGGGUUGGAGGGGGGACUGGAAUGCUUGGUGUAGCAGUGAAAUGCGUAGAUAUCAAGCGGAACACCAGUGGCGAAGGCGAGUCCCUGGACAACACCUGACACUGAGGCACGAAAGCUAGGGGAGCAAACAGG
rnacentral:rRNA from 1 species